rnacentral:tRNA from 1 species
ACAGCCAUAGCCAAAUGGUUACGCUGUCCGCUUUGUAAACGGAUGAUCAUGGGUUCGAUUCCCAUCUGCUCCA